rnacentral:misc_RNA from 1 species
AAAUGUCAUCCAAAGUUUUGCUUUGUUUGUUCUUCAGGCAAACCAAAACUUAUGGGAUUUGGGUUUUGCAGAACUUUUAGUUCGGCUGGCCUUAAAUUAUUUUAGCCAUAAAAAGUCUCGGAUAAGGCGUAAUAGUUGGUACCUCUGGGUCCAUCCCUUUCGCUGAAGCCUGUCUUUUUAAUUUCUGGCUCAAUAAAUAUGGAAAAAGGAAAUAUGUAUUAUAUAUGUAUUUUCACCAUUG